rnacentral:rRNA from 1 species
GCUUGCUUCUCUUGAGAGCGGCGGACGGGUGAGUAAUGCCUAGGAAUCUGCCUGGUAGUGGGGGAUAACGUUCGGAAACGGACGCUAAUACCGCAUACGUCCUACGGGAGAAAGCAGGGGACCUUCGGGCCUUGCGCUAUCAGAUGAGCCUAGGUCGGAUUAGCUAGUUGGUGGGGUAAUGGCUCACCAAGGCGACGAUCCGUAACUGGUCUGAGAGGGUGAUCAGUCACACUGGAACUGAGACACGGUCCAGACUCCUACGGGAGGCAGCAGUGGGGAAUAUUGGACAAUGGGCGAAAGCCUGAUCCAGCCAUGCCGCGUGUGUGAAGAAGGUCUUCGGAUUGUAAAGCACUUUAAGUUGGGAGGAAGGGUUGUAGAUUAAUACUCUGCAAUUUUGACGUUACCGACAGAAUAAGCACCGGCUAACUCUGUGCCAGCAGCCGCGGUAAUACAGAGGGUGCAAGCGUUAAUCGGAAUUACUGGGCGUAAAGCGCGCGUAGGUGGUUUGUUAAGUUGGAUGUGAAAUCCCCGGGCUCAACCUGGGAACUGCAUUCAAAACUGACUGACUAGAGUAUGGUAGAGGGUGGUGGAAUUUCCUGUGUAGCGGUGAAAUGCGUAGAUAUAGGAAGGAACACCAGUGGCGAA